rnacentral:miRNA from 1 species
AGGAGUCAGCUUGUCGGUUCAUG